CGGGGCCCUAGACCGCGGCCACGGGCAGCGAGCGCACGUAGAACGGCCACCCGCUGUGGCCGAACCGCUGCGCUCACUCCCCGGGCAGCCCGGGCCGCCCGCAGGCCUGGUGGGAGAGUCGGUUGUGGGCCGAGUCCCGGUCGCGGAAAGGGUCUGAGCUGGGGCUUCGCAGGAGGGAGAAGGGCACUCGGCGCUCGGUCGGGCUGGCUCAGCUGCGCGCGUCUGGCGGAGGCUUGGAGGAGUCCCAAUCUACUCUCUUGAUGGACUUUCCCCCAGUUUUCCUAUAAUAAAUUUCCGGUAGUAAAUAAUGCUACAACGAAAAUCCUUAGAGAGAGAGAACGAGCAGGGAAGGAGCAGAGAGAGAGGAGAGAGAGAAUCCCAAGCAGGCUCUGUACAGAGCCCGAGGUUGGAGUUCACCUCCCAAACAGGGUGCAAGUAAGCGAGGAGCAGAGAGAGAGAGAGAGAAGCGGAGCUCACAGGAAGCGGGGCUCGUGUGUACCCAAACUGGGACUCGUGCUUAACUUGAUGCUGGGCUCGAGCUCACCUGAUGCGGGGCUCCAACUCACAAACUGUGAGAUCGUGACCUGAGCCGAAGUCAGAUGCUUAACCAACUGAGUCACCCAGGCACCCUAUUUAUUUAUUUAUUUAUUUAUUUUUAAUUUUUUUUUUUUAGAGAGAAAGAGCACGUGAGAGUGGGGCAGGGGGGCAGAGGGAGAGAGAGAGAGAAUCUUAAGCAGGUUCCAUGAUCACUGCAGAUCCCAACUCUGGGCUGGAUCCCACAGUCCUGGGAUUAUGACCUGAGCUGGAAUUAAGAAACACUCAACCAUUUGAGUCAUGCAGGUGCCCCAGUAAUACACUAUUUAAGUGAAAAGGAUUUACAUGCCGUUGCUACGCAAAGUGCCUGUGCCUCUUCUGGAAUCGCCAUUGGGUGGAGGGAAUCAUCUCUCUAAAAGGAAGCUGAUUUCAGUUCAACUGCUUGGAUGUGGGUUUCAACACCAUGAUGAGUUAACUUCUAAAUAGGAAAUUUGAAAAUACAGUCUUUGUUCCAUCUUGAAAAAUUUAAUGAAAAUGUAUCUACCAGAUAUUAAAUUGUUUCCCUGCUGCAAAGUUCUGCUUAUUGAAUUUGGAGAUGAAUUGUUCUCCAAGGACAAGUAGAUAUAUUCUGGUUUUGUAUUGGGUCCUGCCCAGGCCUGAAGGGAAGCCAAGGGAGUCCUCCUCCCCAACUGCCCCACCUCUAAAAAGAAGACCAGGGCAUGCCUUCAAGCCAGCAGGAAACAUCAUGGACAGUUCUUAUUGCUGUUUGACUUAU